rnacentral:rRNA from 1 species
AGUGGAUGGGGAGCAACCUAGUUGUGCGUGUGUAAAGGUAGUGCCAAGAAAAGCGAUGAUCAUGUUGAAAAUCAAUUCCCGGUACCCGAAACCGACACAGGUGGGCAAGUAGAGAAUACUAAGGGGCGCGAGGUAACUCUCUCCAAGGAACUCGGCAAAAUGACCCCGUAACUUAGGGAGAAGGGGUGCCACCGAGAGGUGGUCGCAGUGAAGAGGCCCAGGCGACUGUUUAGCAAAAACAUAGGUCUCUGCAAACUCGAAAGAGGAGGUAUAGGGGCUGACGCCUGCCCAGUGCCGGAAGGUUAAAGAAGUUGGUCAGUUUUAGGAUGAAGCUAGCGACUGAAGCCCCGGUGAACGGCGGCCGUAACUAUAACGGUCCUAAGGUAGCGAAAUUCCUUGUCGGGUAAGUUCCGACCCGCACGAAAGGCGUAACGAUCUGGGCGCUGUCUCGGAGAGAGGCUCGGCGAAAUAGGAUUGUCUGUGAAGAUACGGACUACCUGCAUUUGGACAGAAAGACCCUAUGAAGCUUUACUAUAGCUUGGAAUUGUGUUCGGGCUUCCUGUGCGCAGGAUAGGUGGGAGGCGUAGAAGGUAUUCUUGUGGGGAUACUGGAGCCAACGGUGAGAUACCACUCUCAGGAGGCUAGAAUUCUAACUUAAUUAAGGACAGUUUCAGGUGGGUAGUUUGACUGGGGCGGUCGCCUCCAAAAAGGUAACGGAGGCGUACAAAGGUUCCCUCAGACUGGUUGGAAAUCAGUCGAAGAGUGCAAAGGCAGAAGGGAGCUUGACUGCGAGAAGUACAGUUCGAGCAGGGUGGAAACACGGUCUUAGUGAUCCGACGGUGCUGUGUGGAAGGGCCGUCGCUCAACGGAUAAAAGUUACUCUAGGAUAACAGGCUGAUCUCCCCCAAGAGUUCACAUCGACGGGGAGGUUUGGCACCUCGAUGUCGGCUCAUCGCAACCUGGGGCGGAAGUACGUCCCAAGGGUUGGGCUGUUCGCCCAUUAAAGCGGUACGUGAGCUGGGUUCAGAACGUCGUGAGACAGUUCGGUCCAUAUCCGAUGUAGGCGUGAGAAUAUUGAGAGGAGCCUUCCUUAGUACGAGAGGACCGGGAAGGACGCACCGCUGGUGUACCUGUUAUGAUGCCAAUUGUAAACGCAGGGUAGCCAAGUGCGGAGAGGAUAACCGCUGAAAGCAUCUAAGUGGGAAGCCCACCUCAAGAUGAGUAUUCUGGUGUAAGGUCACGGGAAGACGACCCGUAAAUAGGCACGAGGUGGAAGUGCAGAGAUGUAUGAAGCCGAAGUGUACUAAUAGACCGUCGGC